rnacentral:rRNA from 1 species
UGGCGGCAGGCCUAACACAUGCAAGUCGAGCGGCAGCACGGGGAGCUUGCUCCCUGGUGGCGAGCGGCGGACGGGUGAGUAACGCAUAGGAAUCUGCCCGGUAGUGGGGGAUAACCUGGGGAAACCCAGGCUAAUACCGCAUACGUCCCACGGGAGAAAGCGGGGGCUCUUCGGACCUCGCGCUAUCGGAUGAGCCUAUGUCGGAUUAGCUGGUUGGUGAGGUAACGGCUCACCAAGGCGACGAUCCGUAGCUGGUCUGAGAGGAUGAUCAUCACACUGGGACUGAGACACGGCCCAGACUCCUACGGGAGGCAGCAGUGGGGAAUAUUGGACAAUGGGCGCAAGCCUGAUCCAGCCAUGCCGCGUGUGUGAAGAAGGCUUUCGGGUUGUAAAGCACUUUCAGUGGGGAAGAAAGCUUGCCGGCCAAUACCCGGCAAGAAGGACAUCACCCACAGAAGAAGCACCGGCUAACUCCGUGCAUAGCCG